GGGAGCCGGAGGGGACGCGCCGGAGGAAAGAUGGAAGACUACCAGGCUGCGGAGGAGACUGCUUUUGUUGUUGAUGAAGUGAGCAACAUUGUAAAAGAGGCUAUAGAAAGCGCAAUUGGUGGUAACGCUUAUCAACACAGCAAAGUGAACCAGUGGACCACAAAUGUAGUAGAACAAACUUUAAGCCAACUCACCAAGCUGGGAAAACCAUUUAAAUACAUCGGUAAUGGAGUCUUGUUUCUUUUAUAUUUGCGGGAUGGUUUUUUAACACUGAUCAGAGGGGCAUCCAGUACCAGAAACAACAGCUAACGUGGCUCAACUCAAGGAAGGCUCCUGGUGGGAGUCGGUCGUGUGUGUAGUAUACGUUAGCGUACGCUUGACCAUUUGGCUGCUGGUACAAUUGCAGAUCGUAUGUGAAGCGGGAUCUUACAGGAGGUCCCAUCAGAUGCUUUUAGAACAAGUGAAGCAUAGAGGAAGUGUGGACAGCCCCCAGCUGACAGUGGCUCAACUUAGAAUUUUUCAACUUUGAUGGAUUUACCAGGGUAUUAAGUGCAUUUGCAACUUACAUUUUCAUAUAUUGUUGAUUUAUGAUGGGUUUAUGGGAUGUUGUAAGUCAAGGAGCACCUAUAAUUUGUCAAUAUAGUGAGACAAGGCAAUCUGUCCCUAUAAUUUUUAUCGAGAACAUCAACCACGUGGAGCUACAUACAUUGUACGUUUGCUAAAAGUGGACAGAAUGACAUUUGUGUUACCCAGUAGACUUCUCUAACAAAAAUU
rnacentral:lncRNA from 1 species